GGCAGUGCCGGUGACAUAUCAAUUAGAUGUCCGCCCCAUCAAUUGUUGACGGUAAGGUAGUGGCUUACCGUGGUUACAACGGGUAACGGGGAAUCAGGGUUCGAUUCCGGAGAGGGAGCAUGAGAAAUGGCUGCCAGAUCUAUGGAUUGCAGCAGGUGCGAAAAUUAUCCACUUUUGGCAUAAAGAGAUAGUGAUGAUAAAUAACGGAUCUGGGCAUUUGUUCAGAGAUCGUAAUGAAAUAAUCGUAAAAGCUUUAAUGAACGCAAUUGGAGGGCAAGUCUGGUGCCAGCAGCCGCGGCAAUUCCAGUUCCAAUAGUGUAUACUAAAGUUGCUGCAGUUGAAAAGCUCGUAGUUGGAUCUCGGCUUGCUAGCGCGCGAGGCGUGUGAGUAGGCCUUUGCUGUAGUUGAGUGCUACGGCUUUACCUUGAACAAAAUAGAGUGCUUAAGGCAAGCAUUCUGCUUGAAUAUCUCAGCAUGGAAUAAUAGAAAAAGACUUUUCUGUUGGUUUACCAGUAGUAAAAGUAAUGAUUAACAGAGACAGACGGGGGCAUUCGUAUCGCACCGCUAGAGGUGAAAUUCGUAGAUCGGUGCGGGACGAACUACAGCGAAAGCAUUUGCCAAGGAUGUUUUCAUUAAUCAAGAACGAAAGUUGGAGUAUCGAAGUCGAUUAGAUCUCGUCGUAGUUCCAACUAUAAACGAUGCCAACUAGCACUCCGCUAAUAAGUAUUAGUACGUUAGCGGGUUGCUUCCGGGAAACCAAAGUCUUUGGGCUCCGGGGGAAGUAUGGUUGCAAAGCUGAAACUUAAAGGAAUUGACGGAAGGGCACCACCAGGAGUGGAGCCUGCGGCUCAAUUUGACUCAACACAGAAAAACUCACCCGGGCCGAACACAGUAAGGAUUGACAGACUGAUAGCUUUUUCUUGAUACUGUGGGUAGUGGUGCAUGGCCGUUGUUGGUUGGUGGAGUGAUCUGUCUGGUUAAUUCCGAUAACGAACGAGACUCAGGCCUACUUACUAGUUGUUCGAUUGCUGGUCGAUCAACUUCUUAGAGGGAUCAGUGUUUAAAACACUUGAAAAUGAGCAAUAACAGGUCUGUGAUUGCCCUUAGACGUUCGGGGCUGCACGCGCGCUACAAUGGAGAAAGCAGUGGGUGUCUUGCUUGGCAAAGCAAGCUGAGCCUUAAAAUUUCUUCGUGACAGGGAUCGAGGCUUGUAAUUAUUCCUCGUGCACAAGGAAUUCCUAGUAAUCGCAGGUCAUUAGCCUGCAAUGAUUACGUCCCUGCCCUUUGUACACACCGCCCGUC
rnacentral:rRNA from 1 species